rnacentral:rRNA from 1 species
AUACGUAGGGGGCGAGCGUUGUCCGGAAUGAUUGGGCGUAAAGGGCGCGUAGGCGGCGCGGUAAGUCUGGAGUGAAAGUCCUGCUUUCAAGGUGGGAAUUGCUUUGGAUACUGCCGCGCUUGAGUGCAGGAAAGGUUAUCGGAAUUCCCGGUGUAGCGGUGAAAUGCGUAGAGAUCGGGAGGAACACCAGUGGCGAAGGCGGGUAACUGGACUGCAACUGACGCUGAGGCGCGAAAGUGUGGGGAGCAAACAGGAUUAGAUACCCUGGUAGUCCACACUGUAAACGAUGAAUGCUAGGUGUAAGAGGUAUCGACCCCUUUUGUGCCGGAGUCAACACAAUAAGCAUUCCGCCUGGGGAGUACGGCCGCAAGGUUGAAACUCAAAUGAAUUGACGGGG